CCCUUACCCGCUGAACUUAAGCAUAUCAAUAAGCGGAAGGAAAAGAAACUAACAAGGAUUCCCCUAGUAACGGCGAGUGAAGCGGGAAGAGCUCAAAUUUGAAAUCUGUCUGGUCUCCAGGCCGAAUUGUAGUUUAUAAAAGUGUUUUCGGGGGCGGAUCAGGAUCAAGUCCAUUGGGAUAUGGCAUCAUAGAGGGUGAGAAUCCCGUUGCUUCUGAUCUUGCUUCUAUGUGAUACACCUUUGACGAGUCGGGUUGUUUGGGAAUGCAGCCCAAAAUGGGUGGUAAAUACCAUCUAAAGCUAAAUACUGGCGAGAGACCGAUAGCGAACAAGUACCGUGAGGGAAAGAUGAAAAGAACUUUGAAAAGAGAGUUAAAAGUACGUGAAAUUGUCAAAAGGGAAACACUUGAAACCAGUCUUGCUGGCGGAAUCCCAACCGGGCCUACGCCUGGUAUAUGCUUCUGCCAGCAGGUCAGCAUCGGUUCGUGCUAGUGUAGAAAGCUGGAGGAAGGUAGCGUAUUUAUACGUGUUAUAGCCUCUAGUGCUGCUCUGGCGUGGACCGAGGAAUGCAGUCUAGUCUUGGGGAACCUGCCGCCGGGUGAUGCUUGGGUAUGGACAACUUGUUGAUCAUGUCCGAGAUAAGCCUGCACGGUGGGUGUACCACACCUACACUUAGGAUGCUGACAUAAUGGUUUUAAAUGACCCGUCUUGAAACACGGACCAAGGAGUCUAACACAUGUGCGAGUUUUUGGGUGUUAAAACCCGGGAAGCGUAAUGAAAGUAUUAAGGUGGGACCCCGUAAGGGUGCACCAUCGACCGGUCUUGAAAUUUAUGGAUAGAUCUGAGUAGGAGCAUAUUUGUUAGGACCCGAAAGAUGGUGAACUAUGCGUGAGUAGGGUGAAGCCAGAGGAAACUCUGGUGGAGGCUCGUAGGAAUUCUGACGUGCAAAUCGAUCUUAAAACUUGCGUAUAGGGGCGAAAGACUAAUCGAACUAUCUAAUGGCUGGUUCCCUCCGAAGUUUCCCUCAGGAAAGGG
rnacentral:rRNA from 1 species